rnacentral:lncRNA from 1 species
UUGAGUGUUGUAAAACAUGCUAUUUUAUUUCUUAUUUAAAUCACUCCUGUCGGGAAACAACCUUUAAAUCUGUUAACUGAAUUCCACCAUCUAGUCAUUGGAAAACAAUCUCACAUUCAUCAAAUUGAAAGUUAGUUGGUUGGAUUUGAAGGAAAACAGCCGCAAUCUCCUCUCUAAUCCUCAAAUCGCACAACGUCAGGUAUGAAAUCCCCGAACUCUUCUCUGUAUUACAAAAUUUAUGAAGUGAAUAUUUUUCCUAAUCACAACAUCUAUGCAUAUUAGAAGGAAAAUAAUCAGGCAAACUUAUUUCCCAUAAGAUGUUUGCUCAAUUGCCUAAAUGAGUCCCUUUGCUGUGUGAAUGAUCUUUUAGUGGAAUUCUGAAUCAGUAUGGUUGAGAUCUAUUUGUUUACAUUGUUAAAUGGGGAAUCAUGAUACAGUUUGAGUGUAAUUGAGAUCAGUUGUACUGAGCCUUAAAAGAAUCUUAACAACUGAACUUUUUUUUUCGUGCUUUGAAAUCUGAAAAAUUGAACUUCGAGUAGGUGAAUUUUGUGCAUGAUUUUUUGUAAACUUUCAUAAGAAGGUACAAUACUCUAAGAUGGGGGUGAGGUUUGGUGUAUUUUCUGAUGUGAAUUCUCUCAUUGUGUGAAGUUUCCUUUCCUGAAAUUCUGAAUUAUUAGUAUCGACUUGUUAGAUUGCAGUGAUAGUAGGGCAUAAUUGGGGGUGACCUCCUAGCUGUUAGAAAUAUCUGUCGUAAAAUUUGAUGGUUUGCCGUCUAAAAAGUUUUGCGAUGCAUGUAUUUCUGAUGGUCUCUUUCCCGCCGAUAAUUCAUAUACUCUUCUGAUGACUUUUCGGCAGAUAUGACCGUAAGAAUUUCGUGUAAUUCCAAUAUUGUUGCUCAACCUAGAUUGGCCGUCGGAAUUUCGCGUACUUCCAGUAGUGUUGCUCAACUUAGACGUCAAGUUAAGAGGGGAGAAGUAUACCCUCAAUUCUCUAUGUUAUGAAAGAAUUUUAAGUACUUGCUCAAGAUGCAAUAAGUUUAAGUUGCAUCUUGAUCUUCUUUAAUCUCCUAUGACAUCUUUCAUGUCAAUCCUUCCUUAUGGAGAUUUGACACAAAAAUCGAAGCUAAUCAAUAUCCUAAUUAUAAUUACAACAACAACAACAACAACAACAAUAACAACAAUUACUAUGCCUCAGUCCCAAUCAAGAUCCUAACUGUAGCAGAUUUAUUAAAAGAACUGGGCAAAUAGAUUUAACAAAAGGAAAAGUCCCGCCUUGCCUACAAAUAGAUGUUAUGAAUCAAACCAAACUAUAGCCUAUUUGAGGCUAAAUAUUAUUGCAAACAUUUGUUACACACGAGAUGAUUUGGAAGAGAAGAUUCUUAUAAGAAUUUGCUCAACAUGCAAGAAGUUGAGUCUUGAUCGUGUUUAACCUCGCUACAACAUCUUUCAUGUCAAUCCUUCCUUUAGGAGAUUUAACACAACAAUCUAUUGCCACUUUCAUGAUGGAAACCACACAGUCUAACUUUUUCAUUAAGUGAUUAUCCUGUGGCUUUAUUAAGUUGGCAUCGACAAUUUCCAUUACUGCAUGUGAGAAUGAGUUGCUCACCCAUUGCUUCAAGCUAAGAUCUUCAUCAAACAUUUCAUCAUUAGGCUUUGUCCUUGUAAAUGUUUCCAUUAACAUGAUUCCAUAACUAUAAACAUCGCCUUUUGUUGACACCAAUCCCUCUAGUCCAUACUCUGUAAUCAGUCAAUUUUUAAAUUCAGCAUUUACCGGUGGGAAAGAGAAAUAUUCAAAAGCAAUUAACAGAUUGCUUACCUGGUGCAAUAUAACCUAAUGUAGCUAAAGUUUUUGUGAAUGAAGCACUCUCAUCGUCAGAAAGCAGUUUUGAAAUGCCAAAGUCACUUAGGUGGGCAACCAUGUCCUCAUCCAACAAGAUGUUACUAGGCUUCAAAUCACAGUGAAUCACGGGCAAUGAGCAGCCAUGGUGGAGAUAUUCCAAGGCACAUGCCACAUCUAUCAUUAUACCUAGUCUAUGCUUGAUGUCUAAGAAGUAGUUGUGCGAAUACAACCACUUAUCCAGGCUCCCGUUAGGCAUGUACUCAAGUAUCAAAGCCUUAAAUUCAUGGUUGGAACAACUAGUGAUGACUUUGGUGAGAUUCCUAUGGAGAAUGUUGCGCAAAACUUGGCAUUCUGUAUCAAAAUUCCUAAAUGCUGCUUGCAAUUGCAGAUUGAACACUUUAGCUGCAAUAGGAGUCCCAUCUCUGAGGAUGCCUUUGUAAACAGAGCUGAAGCUCCCAGAACCAAUCAAAUUGCUCUCGUUGAGCGAAUCAGUUGCUUGGAGCAAUUCAUAGUAUGAAAUUCGUUCUCUUGUUGAGACGUCAUACGAUGAUUCAGCUGUUUGCUGAGGAUCAAGUUUUUUGCCUCUUAUGUACCUUAUCCAUACAAGCACAAACGCGAUAGGCAUUAAUACAACAAGUGGAAUUCCGAUCAGUAGAAUUAGAACAAGUACUUUUUUCCUCUUGGAUCUAUGCUUUGCAGUAUUAGUGGGGCAUGGCAGAACACGAAAUCUCGGAGAACCACAAAAUGCUUCAUUGAACAUGAAAGACUGACUGGAGAGGUUCUUGAACGGACCGCCCGAGGGGAUUUCACCAACCAACUUGUUGAAAGAAACAUCAAAAUACUUAAGAUUUUGAAGCUUCUCCAAUGACUUUGGAAUUAAUCCUGAAACAUUGUUAUGAGAAAGGUCUAGAAAUUCCAAAGCCGACAUGCUGCUCAUUGAGUCAGGUAUUGAUCCUUGCAAUUUAUUGUCUCUCAAAGACAGGUGUAUUAGAUUUUGCAAGCUACCAAUUCCUCCAGGAAUGCCAUUUGAGAGUGUAUUCAUUGAUAGAUCAAUAUAUAUCACGGCUUUUAGAUUUCCGAUUUCCGGAGGUAAAGAGCCACCCAAGUUGUUUGAAGAUAAGUCUAGCUUCAAGAGAUUUAUUAGGUUCCCUAUGCUUGCUGGUAUGUCUGAACGGUAUUUGUUGGAACCUAGAAAUAACUCCUGAAGGGAAGUUAAGUUCCCUAUACAAUUAGGAAGAGAUCCUGAAAGUUGAUUUUGGGUCAAGUGUAAAUAACCCAAGUUCUGCAAUUUACAUAGAUCGAUUUGAGUAAAUCCAGAAAGUUUAUUGUGACUCAACUUACAACUCUGAAGGAAUCUCAAGUUGCUAAUUGUUGUGGGAAUUGAUCCAGCUAAGCCAUUUUCAGAAAGAUCAAGCUCUAAUAAGCUACUUAAGUUCCCAAUUCCUUUUGGAAGUUCCCCUUUAAUUCUGCAAUCAGUAGCUCUAAACCUUAGAAGAGAAGUGACAGAAAGGUUCCCUAGUGAGGCUGGAAGCACACCAUAUAGAGGGUUUGAAGAUAGAAAAAGAAAUUUUAAAUCUCUACAAUUUGACAAGGAAGUCAAGAAGCUUAACCUAGUGUCGCUCAUUAAAUUGUUUACAUCCAAGCCUAGGGACUGUAUACGAGUCAAAAGACCGAGGGAGUUGGGAAUCAAACCGGUGAGUCUAUUGAAAGAAAGGUCUAGACUAGUCAGUUUGGAACAAUUGGAGAGAGAAUGAGGUAUAGUCCCAGAAAGAUUUAAGUUGCUCAGACGAAGAACUUCAAUGUUGGGUAACGUAGAACCUAUGUCUAAUGGGAGGGUUCCUGUCAGAUUAUUGAAUAUAAGUUGAAUCUCUCUCAUCCCUGAUAUGUUGAAGAUCUCCAUUGGUAUUGAACCAGUAAACUUGUUGAAACUCAGAUCAAACAACUCAAUGAGAUUGCUUACUUCUUUUGGUAUUUCACCUGCCAAUGUAUAUAUGUAUGUAUAAUUAGUAAUUAAGAUUUAAGGAAUAUCUUGCUAGUAAUGAUUUAACGUAGUUUGUUAAGUUCACUCUAGCAAGCUAUAUAAUAGCUGCAAUAUCUUAGUAAUUAAUUUCCAUACCCCUUUUGACUACGUACAUACCUGUAAGCAUAUUGUCAGCAAGAUCUAGAAUUUGCAAUUUGGUCAAAUUGCCAACCUCCCUUGGAAAGGAUCCAAUAAGAUUGUUGUGAGCUAGUACCAAAACCUGCAGCGAGGAGAUAUUGAAUGUGGAGACUGGGAUUCGACCAGAAAUAUGGUUUGUCUCCAGCCCUAAAAUCACCAAAUUAUUAAGAAUCCCGAUUUCACUAUGUAUGGGUCCAUCAAACUUGUUAUAAGAUAAAGACAAUAGUUGAAGGUUUGAACAGUUUGGCAAGCUUAGAGGCAUAUGACCGCGUAGCUCGUUCUUACUUAGAUAAAGCUUUUCGAGCAUUGGAAUAUAAUCACACAUGGCAGCAGGUAGAUUUCCUGAUAAGGUAUUUUUUGUAAAUGCAAUGACUUCAAUUCCAGAAAUGUUGAAGAUCGAGAAUGGUAUAGAACCUGUAAGUUGAUUUGAUUCUAUUGACAAUAUUUUUAGGGUUUGAAGUCUUCCAAUCUCUUCUGGGAUGUUUCCUUCAAGGAAAUUUUGAGAAAGUUCUAAAGUCAUCAACAUUGAGGCAUUCGAGAGAGACAGAGGGAUAGAACCGGUAAACUUGUUUCCACCUAAACUUAAAAACCUUAGAUUUUCAAUAUUUCCAAUCUCUUCUGGGAUGUGGCCCUCUAAGGAAUUGCAUGUCAAAUCCAAAGUUUGAAGCGUGGAAAUAUUAGAAAAUAAAGAGGGGAUGGAACCACUAAAACUAUUAUUCCUUAGAGUUAGAACUUGAAGUUGGUGUAAGACCCCGAACCAGGAAGGAACCUCCCCGCUAAAGUUGUUAAAACCAAGUCUAACAAACCUUAACCGAUGCAAACGUGCCAUUUCUUGAGGCAAAUUGCCAUAGAAAUUGUUGCUACCCAAGUCGAGAGAAACAAGAAAUGUGAGAUUUCCGAAAUUAGGGGGAAUUCUGCCUGUAAGAGCCAUGUUGGAAAUGUUCAAUGACUUCACUCUAUGGUGGCGAGGACCACAUGUGACUCCAAUCCAAUCGGAAAUAGGAGUGGCUGGAGACCAACUUUCAUAUAACAAGUGAAAAGGAUCUGCAAUGAUUUGGGAUUUCAAAGAAAGAAGAGCUAAUUGAUCAGUGGUAAUGUUGGUGUGACUCAUGGCUAAACUAGCCACAACCAAGUGAAAGAACAAGAGAAAAGAGGUGAAGGCUUUCUCCAUUAGUACUUUAGAAAUUAGAAAGAAGUAGGCGUGGCUAUGUACAAUGGGCAAUGAGACUUUAAAUAUAAGUUGAUCUCCUUGGUAUCUUCUGCGGAUGUUUUAGUUCUCGUUAUCCUCUCCUUAUUUAGCAACCACAGCAAUCCUUUUCCUUGAGUGUCCCCAAAGACUUGACUCUAAACUCUUGUUGGAGUAAGUAGAGGUGCAAAGUCUGGCUAUGCAUUAUUCUCAAUCGUCCUCACACGGAAAAGAAAUUAAAUUGGACAAUACCGGGUGGGGGUGGGGUGAGGAAUAAAGAAAGAAGAGUUCAGAAUGAUAUAACACCAAAGAUUUCAUUAGCUUUUUCGAUAUUGCUUACUAAAUUUCGAAAAGGAGGAGGAUAAUUAUAUUAUACCUUAGAAGAUGUUUUUAUUUUGUUCAUUUUUCCAGAAGUACGUUGAAGCUUAAAUCCACUGCAUGCACGGUUCUUAAUAGAAAUUUAUAAGAUGUAAGUUUGAUGACCACUUAAUCAUUUCAGAUUCCAGACAAAGAGACCACAAGUUUUUGCUUCUAAUCUAAUUAAAGAAAGCAUCAGUUGGUUCCCCAAUAUUAUCGAGUUAAGAAAAGGACUGUCAGUGAGAUGAUACAUGGACUAGUAGAAAAUUUUAAGAGGGUAUUGUGCAUCAGGCUCAAGAAACUAUGAUUUCCCUAAUAAUCGAGUUUAACAAGCACGUAGUUAUCUUUUGAAUGACUAGAUAGUUGUAUAAAUUAAAGGGAUCUCCGUAUUUAACAAGCACAUCAACCCCCUUUCUUUGAGAGGUCCCAACUCCCAAAGACUUGACUGAUGUGAGUAAGGUCUUGCUUUUUAUGUUUUCUUUUCAAAGAGAAAGACUUUGAUCAAAUCCAAGUCUUCUUCCGCAAAAGCAGUCUGGAAACUUGGUGUUAUUCAAAGAACCUUCAAACACAAUGGGAUGAAUAUGUACGUUGGGCGUAUCCGAAGAGUACAUCGGUCCCUUAAUGUGCAAGUCUUGCGAGACGAGAGCUCCAGGCGUCUGCCAGAGGCGGAUUUAGGAUAUGAGGUUUACAAGAGUUACUAGGUUUCCGAGAACCCAUAUUCGAUGCUCUAGGUCAGGCCCUGGCGUCUCCAAUGACGUUGUACGAGUGCCUAAUUACCCGGUGCGAGCACUGAUUCUUAUUUUUUUAAAAACAUUGAUCUAUGUUCGUUGUUUAGUCGGUGUAGAAUCUAUGGAAUUCAAGUUUGCAGAUCGCCUCUAAAGAAAAAACAGAUAGAAUUCUUUUGUUAUUUUCCAAACACAUGACUAGUAUUAGGCUAGCUGCGUUCACUUUUUAAUACCAAUUUCAUAAAUAAAUAGAAUGGCAGUGAAAGACACCUAAAUUUCUGCAUUAUAUUAUUACAGGGACUCUCUUCUUGAUUUGUGGGGUUUACUUAUCUUUAGGAAGGGCUUAGUUUAUGGGUGUUUGAGAUUCGGAGGAUAAUUGUAGUACCUAGAUUAUGGCUCAACCUAGAGAUUAUUAGUCCUUCAUCAAUCAAAUUAAGUAGUUGGUUUUCUUCCACAUCCUUAAACUACAGACAGGAGACUGCUUUAGAAGCCUAUUCUAGAAAAGCUCAAGCGUACUCUUUUAUUGUAUAUAUGGUAAAUGAUUCUUAUGGGACGAUAAAGAAAUGAAAAAAUGCAUUUUAUACAAUGAAUCUUCAACGUUUUUGUCCAGUCAGAUUAAUGUCCAAACACAAAUUUUAAACUUUCAAAUACUUUUUUGUUCAACUUAAAAUUCACAUAAUACCCCCUCCGUUUCAAAUUAGACGAGAUACUUUCCUUUUUAGUCUAUUCUAAAAUAAAUGACAUAUUUCUAAAUUUGGAAAUAAUUUAACUUUAAACUCUUCAUUUACCUAUUUUACCCUUAAUGAGAAACUUUUAUUUAGUGGAUUAAUUCUGAUAAGUGAAUUCCACCGUCUGUCAUUGGAAAACAAUCUCACAUUAUGUGUUUUUUUAAUUGCAUUAUUACAUCACUAAAAUACCAAAAAUACAUUAGUCACUUUACAUGCAUUGUUAGUUAAUUAAAUAGUCAAUUGUUAAAUUAAAAUAGGUAAGUAGGUUAAUUUUGCAAAUUAGUUUGAAUUAGGUGUGUUAAAUAAAAAUGGUUAAAAUUGAAAGUUAAAGGGAAGGAAGAAAGAAAGGAAAAUGGGUUGCUAUGUUGACAUUCCAAUUGGGCCAAACACUUCAGCAGCUCAGUCUAUAAAAUCCACGGCCAAUUCACCCCAGACCCGGUCCACUUCGCCUGGUCUCCAAAAGACUACCAAACGACCCCGUUUUGGACCAGGGCAAUCUCAGCCAUCCUUCAAACCCCAUCCAACGGCCCUGAAUUAACCCCCAUUUUAUAUAAAACUCUCUUAAACCAGCCCCGCCAAAGACUCUCUCACACGCCCAAACGCCUCUCAUCUAUCCUCACUGUGUAUCAGCCGUUUGCCGCCGCCGAAAAUCGUCCACGGCGGCGGCCAACCUCUAAACAUCCCCAAAAUUUCAAAUACAACCUCCUCCUCCUCCUCUUUCACAAUCUCUAGCUAUUUUCUUCUAAAAACCCCUUAAGCAUCACGAAUAGUAGAUCUAAGAAGGCCGGAAAAAACCCUAAAUCUGUCCUUUUCUGAUUUCUCCUCAAUCUCGGCCCGUUUGAACUCGAAACCUACAUCAAUUGAUUGCUCUUGAUUAGAGCGAUCAAUUGAUGUUAGUAUUGGUUCAUUUCACGGCCACCAGAAUCUGGUCCCCCAUAUUGCUUCGAUUGUUUUCUCCGACUCGUUGGAUUUUCUGUGUUAAACGCCGUCUGAAUUAGAAGGUAUAUCCUCCUUGCCGUCUCUUUCAUGUUCCCAUUAUUUCAGUUUUCUCGUGUCUUUGAUUGAUUGUUUGAGCAUAAUUAUUUUUAGUGAUUGCAUACAUGUGUGUCACUCCGAUUUUUUGAUUGUUUCACCACAUGAAUAAGUGUCAAUGGGUAUUAUCAUGUAUCUCAGUUCCAUUGAAAUCUUUGGAUUCAUUUGAUUAUGGAUUUUAGUCUUUUAGAUGAUCAGACUUAGUUUAUGUUGAAUUGAUUUUGCGAUUUUAUUAGUGAUGCACAUGUCUCAUAUGGUUCGGUUGGUUUUGUUUUGGAUUUGGGAGUGUGGUGGUGGGCUAGGAACAAGGCCCAGAUGUAGGCCCAACUCAAGUGGACUUUAGGAGCAAUUAGGAGAAGAAGUAAAAUCUGGAAAAUUGGUAAAUAACAGUAAAUACAGGGGUUAAUUGGGGAAGUUCAAUUAAAAGAAUCUUUUGGUAAAUGAUUUAGGAAGCUUCUAAAAAGGACUAAAGUGCAACGAAAGGGAAAGAAAAGGGGGUCGGGUGCUGGUCUUAGAGGGUAAAUAACAGAAAAGAAAGGAGGAAAAAAUAAGGAAAGAAUAAUAUGAAAAACAACUGUACAAAAAUAUGUAAAAUGCCUUUUCCCCACAUUUUCUAUAUAUUCUCUCAUUUUGCAUAUCACAAGGACACUUUUCAUUUUGCAUUUUUCAGAGAAUACACAUUCCUCUUUGUUUACCCGAAAAACGGAUAGGGUUGAAUUUAUACGUGGUUCUAGGGACACGUGGUAUAAAUUGGUACAAACCAGAAAGAUAAGUAGAAAUAUAUCGAAUGUUUAUUGCAAAAAAUGAAUGAAAUACAAACCAAAUUGAUUAGAGAAUGAUUUAUAAACGAGCAAGAUGAAUUAAUGUCCAAAGCUCAAAAAAAGAUAAUCUCUCUCUAUAUCUCUGUUUUUGAAAUGGUUUAUGGCCCGGUCACUUAAAAAUUCUCGAAGAUGCCUUUUAUUGAAUAACCGGGCUACCUCCUCUCAGUUGCCUGCAAUCUUCCGUUCUGUGGCCAUGAGUGCCAUACUAUUCGCACAUUUGAUUGGGAUUCCUCUGGGCUGGAUCGGUCUGCAGAGGUCGGGGCCACUUAGUAUCUUUGAUGCGUCCGAUAGCUGACACGAUGGCGGAUGCAUCGAUGUUGAAGUUAUAUUCUGAUAGCCGUGGUGCUUCCUUAGGUCCGGUAUGCCUGUCGAACCCAUUCCUGUUCAUCAGCCCUCGAGACCCUUGGCCUCGAUCACUUCUUUUAUUUCUUUGUACGGGGUCACGUCUUGGUUCGCUACCCCUAUAAUCUCCACUAUACGACCGGUAUCGGUCCCUGAUCGGCCUUGGUUCGCGGUUGAUGUCCCUUUUAAUAACGGACCCAGAACCCGACUGGUCGUCUUCGACUCUAAUCUUCGAUUGAUACCGAUUGUGUACAUCGGCCCAGGCAACAGCUGGGUACUCUAUUAGGUUCUGCUUCAACCGUUGUGAAACUAUCGAGCUUCGUUCGUUCAGACCUUGAGUGAAAGCUUGAACAGCCCAAUCGUCUGUGACUGGUGGUAGGUCCAUUCGUUCCAUUUGGAAACGGGAUACGAAUUCUCUUAGCAUCGCGUUAUCUUUUUGUCUUACCUUGAAAAGGUCUGACUUCUUGGUCUCGACCUUUAUGACUACUACACGUGCUUUUACGAAAGAAUCUGCAAGCAUAGCAAAAGAAUCGAUAGAGUUAGACGGUAAAUUAUGAUACCAUGUUAUUGCUCCUUUUGACAGGGUUUCACCAAUUUUUUUCUAUAAUACGGAUUCGAUCUCGUCGUCUUCUAAAUCAUUUCCUUUAAUGGCACAUGUGUAAGAGGUGACGUGUUCGUUGGAGUUGGUCGUUCCAUUAUAUUUAGGAAUUUCGGGCAUGCGGAACUUCUUGGGGAUCAGUUUUGGAGCUGAGCUCGGGGGGAAGGGCUUUUGUACGAAUUUUUUGGAAUCCAAGACCUUCAAUAUUGGUGGUGCCCUCGGGAUCUGAUCAACCCUGGAAUUAUAAAUUUUCACUUUUUUGUCAUUUGCUUCAAUCCUCCUCUCUUCUGACUCUGUUCGUUUUGUCAGUUCCUCGAGCAUCUUAACAAUUUUGGGAUGUGUCCCCGAUUCUUGCUCAUUUGACCUUACUACAGCUGGCCUUGUUGUGUGGGUGACUUCUCGGGGUGGACUAGGCUCGGGCCUGCUCGGUGCCUAGGUUUGGCUCUGCAACUGAGCUAUCGCUACCUGUUGAGCUUGCAACAUUUCGAAAAUCAUACGCGAGCUGAUUCCGUUUUCCUCAACGUUUUGGGUAUUUCGAGUUGCAGAUCGAGUUCCACCAUGAAUGCUAUUUUCAGGGUCGGAACGUUGGUUUGCCUCGAUGGCCACAUGUGAAUUAACGUCUACUGGCUCUUUGACACGAGCUCCAACGGGAUCGACGAGUGGCCUUUCAUCUCCGGGCGUCAAGUUGCUGUUCUCAUCUUGAAUGCCAGUUUCGUUGUCGAUAGGUAGGGCCAUUAAUAGAGAAUUCGUCGUUUUCAACCUGAAAUUAAAGAUACUUCCAAGAACAAGUGAAAAAAUAGUGUGUUUCAGAGAGGUUCGUACCAAAUAGUCACUAUUAUCCUUAGCCCCACGGUGGACGCCAAACUGUUUACCCGAAAAACGGAUAAGGUUGAAUUUAUACGUGGUUCUAAGGACACGUGGUAUAAAUUGGUACAAACCGGGAAGAUAAGUAGAAAUAUAUUGAAUGUUUAUUGCAAAAAGGAAUGAAAUACAAAUCAAAUUGAUUAGAGAAUGAUUUAUAAACGUGCAAGAUGAAUCAAUGUCUAAAGCUCAAAAAAUGAUAAUCUCUCUAUAUAUCGGUGUAAUAAUCUUUGAAAUGUGAGAGUGUAUCAAUGUAUGCUUCUCUAGAUGUUCAAUUUCCCUUUAUAGAAAUAAUACCCACUCUUAAUAUAGUGGAGGAAUCCUACUUGGGGUAUAAUAAAAAAUACAUAGUGGGGAUCCCAUGAUAGAUUAAUUGAUUAACUUUUCCUCGAUUCCCGUCGAGAUUCUCUCCCUGGUACGGCUACAACAACUCUUUGUCUCUUAGCUCGAUCUUGGCCGGUAUCGGUCGAUCUCUGGAUCUCGAGCUCGAUAUUGACUCGAGCUCGGUAUUGAUCGGUCUCUGACUCUUGAGCUCGAUAACACUACUUCAUGUCAUAACUCGAUAUUGACUCGAGCUCGGUAUCUUGAGCUCGACAACCUGACUUUACUUAUAAUCUCGAUGUUACAAUGACGACCCUUGGUUCAUCAUGUUCUAAUAUCGACUAAUUACACGAAGAGCAAACUCGGAUUUGACCGUAUACACUCUCCUCUCCUCAUUCACUCUUACACAUGCAAAAAGCCCUAGUAGCAGCUGUAAUUUUAGAUUCCAGAUCUGAAUUUUAAAUGCUGCAAAAAACUCUCCAAAACAGAAUCAAAACAUUAAAAAAAAAGAUUUGAAAAGCUGGUAUGAUUUCUGCUGCUUUGUUUCAAUAAUUUCUGGUUGCUCGAGUUGAUUUGGGACUUAAAAUUGAAGCUGUGGUGCUUGUUAUGCAUUGCUGAACUUUUCUCAUCCUUAUUCUGCCUUUAUUUGGCUGGUAUUCUGUUCUGUUUCCUGUUGCGCAUUAGGUACACACCAAAACCCCUUUUGUACUCAUUUUGAUCUAUAUGACUAAUUACUUAAAUCAUCUCUGAAUCUGUGUAUGAGUUCAGUUAUUUAGAUUCUUGUGUUUAUGAGUUUUAACAUGCUCUUAUGUUUGAUUUACAUCUUCUGAUUCCAUGUGAAUUAAUGAAAUCAUGCUCAUUAUAGAAUGAUUUAAUUGAUAGUAAUGAAAUUACAGUGAUUGUAUUUGGAUUGUUCAAAUGUUCAGUAUGCACAGCUGUUUCUCUGGGCUAAUUGAAGCAGCCACUUAUGGAGGGUUUCAAAUCACAAUUUGAUGUACUAAUUUAGCUUUGUAAUUCUGAAAAUGAUCAGUGUUGAUGACUGAGAAUAGUUUAUAGUUAUUUUCAUUUGGUAAUAAUGUGUGUGAGUUAUAUGAAAAAUAAUGGAGUUUUAGAUGGCAUGAAAACUCGUUGGUUUGAACAGUAGUUAAUAUCAAAAUUCUUUUUAAUUUCAUGUAAUAAUGAGUUAACAAAAGGAUUUCGAGCUUUGAUAAUCAUGAACUAAUAUUGGAAGUAGUUAUAGUUAAUUUUUGAGAUGGUGUUUGGGAAUCAUUUGGAACACCAAGAUCUUUUGGGCCUGGGAACUGGCCUAUACGAGACUGAGUUUGAAGUCUCGAAGAUUCUGAGCCUCUCGUGUAUCUGGGCUCAACUUCAGGCCUAUUUUGGAAUCUCAUAUGCAAAAAAGCCUGCCGCUUCUGAAGGGCUUCAAUACGCCGGGCCUCGUCUUAUGCCUAGGUGUUAUCACUCCAUUUCAUGAACCAAAAUUCAACUAGCCGUGAUGACAUCUAACUUUACCCGCUAGGUAAGCCAAAUAACAACAAUCUGAUUCAAUUAAUAUUUAACUAACUCUAAUACACUUCCCAAGGACUGGUAGUACAAAUCAUGAGCUUCUAAUAUUAGAAUUCAUAAAGCUGGUGUGAAAUAAAAAUAGUCAUAUGUUUGAAAUAUACAUGAACAGAUUUAAAAAUUCUAAAGCUACCUAGAACAAGAGGCAGUUGUGACUGGAUCGCAGGUACAUCUUCAAUGCUAGCUCUCGCCAUGUACAGCAGCAUCAACAUCCAAAAUUUGCACGCAAGGUGCAUAAGUGUAGUAUGAGUACUACCGACCUCAUGUACUCAAUAAGUAACAAACUUAACCUUAGGUUGAAAGUAGUGACGAGCUUGUACCAAGGUCAGAGUCCACACCAAUAACAUCUCAUAACAAUACAAUUUAAAGCAGCACAAGUAAUAACUUAAUAAUAAAAUGCUCAGCUCGUAUACAAUUCCGGAAAAUAAACAUUUUCUUCUUAAGUAUAACAGUAAAACUCAAAUCUUUUGCCGAAAAUCACCGAAAAUAUGAGUAAGUCUGAAAUCUGUGAUUUUUCUCAAAAACUUUAACGAUAGAUAAGAAAUUUAUCAGAAGGCAUAUGGAAAAAUACUUCUCUGUGCCUACAAAUCAAGUAUGCAUGUCUAAUGCAAUGCAACACAGUAGAAUUCAUGUAUUCACACUCUCAGAAUACUCAAUUACUCAGUACUGUGGGAAAGAUCCAUCCUUCAAUAUAAAAUGCAACUGACAGUCAGUCACUCAGUAAUGUAUAGGGUCAAUCCAGCCUAGGGAAAUUCAUCCCAAAUAUAAAUAAACAAGGCAAGUUCAUGCCCAGGGAAGUCCAUCCCAAAUAUAAAUAAAUAAAGCAACUCCAUGCCUAGGGAAGUCCAUCCCAAAUAUAAUAAAUAAGGCAACUACAUGCCCAGGGAAGUCCAUCCCAAAUAUAAUAAAUAAGGUAACUCCAUGUCCAGGGAACUCCAUCCCAAAUAUAAUGUACAUGGCAACUCCAUGCCCAGAGAAUUCCAUCCCAAAUGUGAAUAUAUAUGGCAACUCCAUGCCCAGGGAAGUCCAUCCCAAAUAUAAAUAAAUAAAGCAACUCCAUGCCUAGGGAAGUCCAUUCCAAAUAUNNNNNNNNNNNNNNNNNNNNNNNNNNNNNNNNNNNNNNNNNNNNNNNNNNNNNNNNNNNNNNNNNNNNNNNNNNNNNNNNNNNNNNNNNNNNNNNNNNNNNNNNNNNNNNNNNNNNNNNNNNNNNNNNNNNNNNNNNNNNNNNNNNNNNNNNNNNNNNNNNNNNNNNNNNNNNNNNNNNNNNNNNNNNNNNNNNNNNNNNNNNNNNNNNNNNNNNNNNNNNNNNNNNNNNNNNNNNNNNNNNNNNNNNNNNNNNNNNNNNNNNNNNNNNNNNNNNNNNNNNNNNNNNNNNNNNNNNNNNNNNNNNNNNNNNNNNNNNNNNNNNNNNNNNNNNGCAGCCCGAUCCCAUAAUAAUAAAAUAUAUAAAGCCAAUAUGGCCUACUGCGGCGUUCAGCCCGAUCCCAUAAAUAUCUUCACAAUCAGGUCCUCGACGUCACUCAGUCAUCAAUCUCUCUAGUGUCUCGGGCUAAACAUUUCGUGAAAAUUGCCUCAAAAAUCUCUUCAAUCCGAGCUCCAUAGCUCCAAAUGUGUUAAGAAUAGCCGAAAUCCCCGUUUUAGAAUCUGUCCAGGCAAGUCGCAUUUGACACCCGAGACUUAUAAAUCACAUUUGAUACCUGCGAUUUGCCUCUGCCCCACAAAAAUAUCAAUCUUUCCUGAUACGGAAAUGAGCAUAAAUCUCUCAUACGAUGUCUGAAUCCGACGAUUUUUUUUUUGAUAUGGCUCUGUAAUUUCAAUACGGAUCCAAUGCUUCAAUCAAAACUGAAUUUGGAGCUCAUUUACUUAAUGUGGUACCAUUUAUGCUUGAAGAAAUGACGUCGAAACAUUCUAGAAAUAUCCAAAUUAAAUUUCGGACAUACGCCCAAGUUCAAAAUCACUAUCCGGACCUAACGGAAUCAUCCGAAACUCCGAUCCGAGGUCGAAUACUAAAAAGUCAAAUUUGGUCAACUCUUUCAACUUAAGACUUCCAACAUGGAAUUCAUUCUUCCGAACAUGUUCCAAAACACCUGAAAAACAAAACCAACGAUUCAUACACGUCAUAAUACAUCAUAUGAAACUAUUCAAGACUUCAAAUAGUUGAAAGGGGCGUAAAUGCUCAAAACGAUAAGUCGGAUCGUUACAUUUUCCCCAAAUUAAACAUAUGUUCGUCCUCGAUCGUGCCAAGAGUUGUUCCUAAACCUUCAAAUCAUUAUUCCACCUUACCACGCAUAUACCCGGGGGUGAUACCACGUCACCUUAUUACAUAUAGGGCUGGCAAUACCAUAAUUGAAAAUUAUUACUUUAACCUUAGUCCGUAAAACUUAGAAACCAAUUUCCAACAUCCAGAAUUCUUUACAAGACCCGAAUCUCAUAUCUACACACUGUAUAAGUCUGAAUAAGCUGUAUCAAGCCAUGACCAUAACCCCUGAUAUAAUGACAUAACAUACUACACAACUCGCAUACUCGCAGCACCAUUUUCGAUCACAGUAAUUACUCAAAAUCAACCCGGUAGUAGUAUUAAACCCCAUAUCAAACAAAAUUUCGUUCCAAAACCUUCGUACACUACUGAUAAUGAAAGAAACACGUGAAAUCUCAUAACCACUUAUUAGAUCAACAAGUCAGGGAGCUUUCCCUCGUUCAACAAGUACCAUAACCAAUUAUCUAAGCCGAUUUCUACAAUUAUUCUUCCAAACACGUUGUAAUCAAACCUGCUAGUACCCAUUCUAGGUCCAAUGACUUUAUCUUUUCAAACACAACCACUUUAUUGACAUGCAACCCCAACACAACCCGAUAUUUACAUCCAACCCUCAAAUUUCGUGAAGAGAAUAAUCAUAGGUACAUGUGCUCGAUUUCUCAAAGACCCUACUCAAAUAAUAUCAUAACAUGUAGAGGAAAGGAAAGACAAUUAAAUCAGAUAAAUGAUCAAGGAAAUAUAGUUUUCACACACUGCACAGACAACUCACGUGCAACAUGGACAACUCACGUGCCAAUAAUAUCAAUAUAUGGAUCCGCACGGACAACUCACAUGCGACAUGGGCAACUCACAUGUCAAUGAUAUAAAUAUAUUGACCCGCACGGACAACUCACGUGCCAAUAAUAUCAAUAUAUAGAUCCGCACAGACAACUCACGUGCUAAUAAUAUAAAUGUCUGGAUCCGCACGGACAACUCACGUGCUAAUAAUAUAAAUCGUCUAGCAUGGUCAUAUGCCGCCAGUCCAAGCAUAUCAUACAAGAGAAAUUAAACAAGUACACAUGUAUAUGAUAAUGAAGUAAGAUUCUCACACUCCUGAACUAGUAUAAAUAACACGUCAUAGUGUAGGCAUGUGCAAAGUAUGCUAUCACAGCUCAAAUCGGCAGGUUAUCGCAAAAUUAGUAACUACCAAGUUUAUUCAAGGAAUUAACCUUUUUGUAACCUCAAGUAUGAAUCAGAUAGUUCUCAACAAAGGUACAAAUAUGAGAACGUUAUAACUUUAAGCUUAACAGUCAACUCUAGGCAUAUUAUAGCCUAAGCAUUUUCCCGAGCACGAAUAAUUAUUCCGGUGCUCGCUCAUGGGCUCAAACCCCAUACAUAUGUGCACUCAUAGCGCAUAGCUAUCACAAAUAGUUAAUGCAACUAGUGCCUCCACUGAAUUUAAAUAAAAUACUUACCUCAAACAGGCCGCAACCCUGAAACAAUAUACUUCUGAGAACUCCCAGUCUCUAAAUUCAUAGAAUACAUGAAUCACCGUAACUGGUCCUAACUCCAGUACUCGAAUGACUAACACAUCUUUCAUGCACGAUCAUCCCACAAGGAAUACUUCUAUAAUUCUUCUAUGCCACAUAGCAAAAAUUCAAAUACCAGCAGUCUAUCAACCAGAUUAGUACCACAAUACUAAUGAAAUAUCUGUAAGUCAAAACACAACGCGCCUUCUGAAAUGCGCACCCUUCUCAGGGAUUCCCGAGCAGUUAUUACAUUCAUCUAAAUAUCUGAAACUGACAAUUCUGUCCAAAAUUCGUGACCUUCCCUUCAAGAUUGAACUGCCAUCUUGUACAUGUAAAUCUUAAUCCUGCACAACACACCACGAGAAUCUCAUUAUCAACUAUGAGUUACCAGCAAAUUACAUACCCGGUUAGUUAGAAACCUUCCUCUUGCUUCCUUCCAGGAGAAAAUCACAAUACACAAUACGUUCCCCACACCGGUAGAAAAUAUUCGGUUCAAACCAUGGUAGAAACUAUCAAGAAAACUUUAAAAUUCAUUUGCACAUAACCAAGCUAUCAGAACUGAAUUCCUCUAACUCGACCAAGCCAUGCGGGUCACCAAACCCAAGAAUAUUGCCACCAAACAUAUGUAAAGCCUCACCACAUUAUAAUUACCCCCAUAAAUACCACAACCGAAAAACCCACUCUAAAAAUACCUUAUGUGAAUUUAAAAUAGUUCUUUUUACCUUUCUUAUAAUGAAAUGUAGAACCCAUAAUCAUACAAAAUUACCUCAAGUCCCGACACCAUCCAAUGUAACUAACCGAUUCUAGCGAUAUACAAAUUCCAAAAAAAUUUCAAUUGACACAUAUACAUUUUGAAUCCAUUAGAACCCUUUCAAAAGUCAUCCACUCUGCUCGAAUCUGCCCAAACGGGCCGAAAGACGUGCCUCAUUAGCGCAACAACACUCAAAGAAGUAACAUUGCUUUAACACCACCGAUCAAAUUCAUACUCCGUGCGCACUACAUCCUUCACAAAUAACAACUCACUCAUCCUAUGAUUUUCAUAUACUCAUAAAGUGCAAUAUAACCCCUAUCCAGUAAUUUCAUUACUCGAGUCAUCCUCGAUCUCAACCUCUGUAAGUCAUAACUGAUCCACAAGUAUGCCUCAGUCCAAAACCAAUACAACACAUAACCGUGCAAUCAAAUCGUAGAUAGCAGACUCCCCCACUUGGCUUAAAGCCAUAGAUCAAAACACCCAGUAACUCACAAUACCCCUACUCUAUUACUUCCAUAAUAUCGCAGUCAGUUCAACGAAAAUUCUUCUCAAGCUCAUACAACACCGACCAUAAAAUACCUCAAUCACCCACUAAGCUCGCAUUUAUACUCUUGACAGUCAAGUCAACUUUCUCAACCUGGUUCAAAUUCAAAUCUCAACACAUACACCCCGCUGAUAGAAAAGAAACUCUCAACUCAACAUUAUAAGGAGCACACAUCCGUAGAUUACUCCGCAUGAGAUAACCCACCUGCUUAGCCUAAAAGUGGCAUCUUGAUAUACCCUUCCGCAACCACAAUUACUAUGCAAUCACUUAAUCUCCCUAAGUCCAAACUCAUCAACAAGACAAGAAAAUCUAAUUCGCUCAAAUAUUAAAUAACAUGAAAGAUCCUUCAACACAUUCAUACUCGAAACUAUAUGUCAAAUUAAGACAGACACUAAGCACUCAAUAGCCCAGGUUUCAUCACAUUCAAGCUAUCUGAACACAUCCACAGUCACAUUAAAAUCAUCACAUAGUCAUUCAACCGCUUAUCGAGCCAUAAAUUCCACUCAUAGGGACACUACCUGUUGCAUAAGUGCAAACGCACAAGUUCUCAUAACUGCAACUACCGAGCUUAAGCUGCGGUCUAACCCUGGCCUCAAGUCCUCCAGACUGGACAAUCACCAAAAUAUAGAAAAUACAUCUCGCACCUCAUCCAUGGAAUCGCAAUCCGUCGAUGUACAACUGAUACCGAGCGUUCACGUAUGCAUACGAAUGAGUGAAAGAAAUCCAAAGAGAUACGCUUCAAGUGGAAUCAAUGUCGUACGAUAAGGAAAGAAAGAUGGGAGGUUUAUCCUAAAUGCCCUGUAACCUCUCGAAGAUAAGUAUGAACUCCAUCAUACCGAUCCACAAGACUCUACUAGACACUUGCUCAUGACUUGUAGAACCUAUGAACCUAGAGCUCUGAUACCAACUUCUCAUGACCCAAAAUUGAACUAGCCGUGAUGGCACCUAACCUCACUUGCUAGGUAAGUCAAAUGACAACAAUCUGAUUCAAUUAAUAUUUUACUCACUAUAAUACACUCCCCAAGGACUAGUAGUACAAAUCACAAGCUUCUAAUACUAGAAUUUAUAAAGCUGGCAUGAAAUAAAAAUACGUCAUUUGUUUGAAAUAUGCAUGAACAAAUUUAAAAAUUUUAAAGUUACCUAGAACAAGAGGCAGUUGUGACUUGAUCGCAGGUACAUCUUUAAUGCUAGCUCCCACCAUGUACAACAACUUCAACAUCAGAAAUCUACACGCAAGAUGCAGAAGUGUAAUAUGAGUACAACCGACCCCAUGUACUCAAUAAGUAACAAAUCUAACCGUAGGUUAAAAGUAAUGACGAGCUUGUACCAAGGUCAGAGUCUACACCAAUAACCAAUGACAUCUCAUAAUGAUACAAUUUAAAGCAAUACAAGUAAUAACUCAAUAAUAAAAUGCUCAGCUCGUAUACAAUUCCAGAAAAUCAAUAUUUUCUUGUCAAGUAUAACACUAAAAGUCAGAUCUUUUGCCAAAAAUCAUCGAAAAUAUGAGUAAGUCUGAAAUCUGUGAUUUUUCUCAAAAAUAUUAACGACAGAUAAGAAAUUUCAUUAUCAGAUGGCAUGAGGAAAAAUACUUCUCUAUUCCUACAUAUCAAGUAUGCAUGUCUAAUGCAAUGCAGCACAGUAGAACUCAUGUAUUCACACUCUCAGAGUACUCAAUUACUCAGUACUGUGCGGGGCAGAUCCAGCUAGGGAAGAUCCAUCCCUCAAUAUAAAAUGCAAUUGAGAGUCAGUCACUCAGUACUGUAUAAGGACAAUCCAGCCCAGGAAAAUUCAUCCCAAAUAUAAAUAAAAAAGGCAACUCCAUACCCAGGGAAGUCCAUCCCAAAUAUAAUAAAUAGGGCAACUCCAUGCCAGGAAAGUCCAUCCCAAAUAUAAUAAAUAGGGCAACUCCAUGCCAGGAAAGUCCAUCCCAAAUAUAAUAAAUAAGACAACUCCAUGCCCAAUCCAUCCCAAGUAUAAUGUAUAAGGCAACUCCAUCCCUAGGGAACUCCAUCUCAAAUGUGAAUAUAUAUGGCAACUCCUUGCCUAGGAAACUUCAUCCCAAAUAUAAUAUGCACUGCGCUCACUGGUUGGGGUGCAGACUCCGGAGGGCUCUUUCAGCCCGAGCGCUAUAAUAAGCCAGAUCCAAGCAUAAAUAAAUAAAAAAUAAUAUGUUGCGGCGUGCAGCCCGAUCCCAUAAUAAUAAAAUAUAUAAAGCCAAUAUGGCCUAUUGCAGCAUGCAGUCCGAUCCCAUAAAUAUCCUCACAAUCAGGCCCUCGGCCUCACUCAGUCAUCACUUUCCAGUCUCUCGUCCAAAAAUGAUGAUAUGAUGUAUCAAUAAAUAACAACAGAGACUGAGAUGUGAUAUAAAAUGAAUGAGCAUGACUGAGUAUGAAAUUAUAAUUUAAACAAAUAAUUCAACAGCAACAUGACCUCUGUGGGUCUCAAUAAUACCGGCAUAUAGCCUCAGCAUGAUUUUUAACAUGAUUCUCAGCUCAAUUUCUUUAACACAUGAAAGUACAUGGACAAUGCCAAGAUUAUUUUACUACACAAUUAAACAGAAUUAAUUACGUCACAGUUUCUACGGUCACACCAAUACGCCCGUCACUUAGCAUGUGCGUCACCUCCAAACAAAUCAUAUAACACGUAUUUUCGGAGUUUAUACCCCCAACUCCAAGUUUAGAAAUGUUACUUACCUCGAACAAGCCGAAUUAAAUCCGAGCAAGCUAAAUAAUACUCCGGAAAAUCCAUUCCGCGCGUAUCAACCUUCGAACGCCUUCCUAUCUCCUUAAUUCCAAGCCAAACGAUCUAAAACUAGUCAAACAACGUGCAAAUUAAUCAAAAUAUACUUCAAUAUUUACGAUUUAACAAUUUAUAAAAAUUUCCAAUUCCGCUCGAAAAGUCAACCAAAAGUCAACGGUGGGUCCACAUCUCGGAAUCCGAAAAAAUUACAAAAUCCGAACCCCCUUCAACCACGAGUUCAACCAUAUCAAAAUUACUAAAAUUCGACCACAACUCGGCCUUAAAAUACGCAAUUAAAUUCUAUGAAAUUUUCUACCAUUUUCAACCCAAAAUACUAAUUUGUUAAUAAAACCAACAAUAGAUUCGUGUAAUUUAACAAAAACCGAGUUAGAAUCACUUACCCCAAUCCAUUUGGUAAAAAUCGCCUAAAAAAUCGCUUCAAUCUGAGCUCCAUAGCUCUAAAUGUGUUAAAAAUGCCAGAAACUCCCGUUUUACUAUUUGUCCAGGUAAAUCGCAUUUGACACCUGAGACUUAUAACUCUCUCAUACGAUGUCCAAAUUCGACGAUUCGUUUUGCUAUGUCUCCGUAAUUUCAAUACGGAUCUAAUGCUUCAAUCAAAACUGAAUUUGGAGCUCAUUUGCUUAAUGUGGUUCCAUUUAUGCAUGAAAAAACGACGUCGAAACAUUCUAGAAAUAUCCAAGUUAAAUUUCGGGCAUACGCUCAAGUCCAAAAUCACCAUCCGUACCUAACGGAAUCAUCCAAAACUCCGAUCCUAGGUCGAAUACUAAAAGGUCAAAUUUGGCCAACUCUUUCAACUUAAGACUUCCAACACAGAAUUUAUUUUUCCGAACAUGUUCCGAAAUACCUGAAAAUAAACCGACGAUUCAUACACGUCAUAAUACAUCAUAUGAAACUAUUCAAGACAUCAAAUAGUUGAAAGGGGUACAAAUGAUCAAAACGAUAAGUCGGGUCGUUACACUUCAACCCCAAAUUCCUUUCACCACCGAAUAUUAACGUGCUUUUUGAAGUAAAGUAAUUUCCAAAUGUUGUCAAAUAUGUUGGUGAACACCCAACCCCGCAAGUUUUGAUUGUACGAGGCAUAAAUACGUCAGUUCUAGCAUGUAAUUUUGGAAGCUAGAUUUGCAAAACAGUGAUAUGCUUUGUAGAUUCGUAUUGAUGCAAUUAGACGUAAUAGAUUGAAUUGUAGUCUGUCAUUAUAUUUUUAACCAAUUGUAAUUGAUUGAUUACAUAAUGCCUCCAAUGAUUGCAAAUCUCACUCUUAAAAUUGUGUUUAGUAAGGCUAACCCACAUUUGCAUAGCUAAUUUCUUUACUUUCACAACUAAUUUCCAUAAACUCUUCGCCUCACAAUAAUCUCAAACUAAUUUUUAGGGAAACUAAUUCAUGAACAUCGCUAGUUGCUUUAGGCGUGCAUCGAAUAACAAAUCAUCGUGACUAUAGGUACGGUUCCCGUGGCAUAGUCAUGAUACGUAACCCCAAUUUCAAGUGCACGUUCGCGUGACUUGACCCCAUUCAAAUAAUAAUAAAUUAAACAGGCCGUAAAUUGCGGGUGCGUUUCACGCGACAUGAUUUGCGGCGUGUGCAAAACAACAAGUAUACUGCAUCACAACUUGUUUAAUAAAUUUCAUAAAAUAAUUAAAAUGCACAAAUAAAAGCAGUGAAAGGUAAAGUACACAGUAGGUUUAAAACAUGUAAUAAUAGGAUAAUUAAGCCGAGUGUAAUUUGUUAAGCGACCGUGCUAAAAUCACAGAAUUCGGAAGUGCCUCACACCUUCUCCCGAGUUAACAGAAUUUCUUACCCGGUCUUCUGUGUUUCGCAGGCCAUAAAUAGAGUUAAGCUUCCUUGAAUUGGGAUUCCAAAUUUGGUUACUCGGAACACCGUUAAUUAAAUAAUUUUGAGUGACAACUCUACAAAAUUAAAUAAAUCAAUCCCUUUUCAAAUAAUGUCAUUUUAAUUUUAAAAACUCCUUAUUUUCGGAAAAAGAAUGCGGGACAAUGUGAAUAAUUUUUUAGUGGAAUUCUGAAUCAAUAUGGUUGAGAGCUAUUUGUUUACAUUGUUACAAUCAUGAUACAGUUUGAGCGUAAUUGAAAACAGUUGUACUGAGCCUUAAAAUAAUCUUAACAAAUGAACUUUUUUUCGUGCUUUGAAAUCUGAAAAAAUGAACUUCCAGUAGGUGAUUUUGUGCGUGAUCUUUUUUGUAAACUUUCAUAAGAAGGUUCAGUACUCUAAGAUGGGGCUGGUUUGGUGUACUUUCUUAUGUGGAUUCUCUCAUUGUGUGGAUUUUCCUUCGCUGAAAAUCUGAAUUACUAGUGAAGAGAUGUUAGUUUGCACUGAUAGUAGGACAUAGUUGGGGGUGACUACCUAGCUGUUAGAAACAUCUGUCGUAAAAUUUGAUGGUUUGCCGUCUAAAAAGUUUUGCGAGGCGCGUAUUUCUGAUGGCCUUUUCCCCAAUAAUUCAUAUACUCUUUGUAACGAUCCGGCCGGUCGUUUUGAAUAUUACAAUUCCGUUCUCCUAUUUACUAUUCUAUUUAUGCUUUAUAGCUGUAUUAUGACCUAUCAGAUUAGUUAGUUUGGGUCCGAAAGGAUUUCGGAACGAAUUGAGACACUUAGUCUCAUAAUGGAAAGCUUAAGUUGGAAAAGUCGACCGAAUAUUGAUUUAUGUGUUAACGACCUCAGAUUUGAAUUCUGAUGAUUCCAAUAGCUCCGUAUGGUGAUUUUGGACUUAUGAGCGUGUCCGAAAAAUUAUUUGGAGGUCCGUAGUGGAAUUAGGCUUGAAAUGACGAAAGUUAAAUUUUUGGGAAGUUUGACCGUGGGGGUGGGGGUGGGGAGUUGACUUUUUGAUAUCGGGGUUGGAAUCUGAUUCUGAAAAUUGGAAUAGGUCAGCAAUAUGAAAUGUGACUUGUGUGCAAAAUUUGAUGUCAAUCUGACGUAAUUUGAUAGGUCUCGACAAUGGUUGUGGAAGUUAAAGUUUCAAAGUUCAUUGAUUUUGAAUUUAGGUGUGAUUCGUCGUUUCGAUAUUGUUAGGUGUGAUUUGAGGCCUCGAGUAGGUCCGUAUUAUGUUAUGGGACUUAUUGGUAUAUUUGGUUGAGGUCCCCGGGGGCCUCGGGUGAGUUUCGGACGAGGUUCGGGCGUUGCAUAUUGCAUUGUUGAAGGCGGCUAGUUCUAGUAUUUUCGCACCUGAGAAGCGACGAUGAGGUCGCAGAAGCGAGGGAGUGCUGGCUGGGCAGUGCUCGCAGAUGCACAAUUUUUCUCUUACAGAAUACCGAACUUGGAUAAUCGGUAGAAGAAUGAUUGGCUAGAUCAUUUGCUUCACUGCGGAAAAACCCCUUUCUACGCCGCAGAUGCGGAGUAUCAUCUGUGCUUGGCUUUCCGCAGAAGCGGCCUAGCUCGCAAAUGCGCUCACUUUUCCGCAGAAGCGGGGGUCACAGGUGCGGCCUCUUGACCGCAUAUGCGAAAGUGCUGGGCAGACUCCUUUAAAUUCAAGGGUUCGUGAUUUUCACCAUUUUCAGAUUUUGAAGCUCGGUUUGGGCCAUUUUGGGGAGGAAUUUUUCCACACAACUUGGGGUAAGUGUUCUUGAUUCCCUUGUGGUUAUAUUUCAUGAAUUUAUCUUCAUUUUUGGUGUAAGAUUAUCGAAUCUUCAAGAGAAAUCGAAGGAAAUUCUUAUAUUUCAUAAAAAUAAAUUUUUGAGUUUUGAACAUAGAUUUGGAGUCGGAAUUUAGUGAAAGUAGUAUGCUUGAACUUGUAAUUGGAUGGGUUUGUCGGAUUUUGUGAGUUUCGUCGGAUUCCGAUCGUCCACAUGCGAUUUUUGGAGUGUAAUUUUCGAUUUUGUGGGAAAAUAUUAGUAUUUUUAUCUGGAAUUAAUUCCUAUAAAUUGUGUGGACUGAAUCAAAUUUAUUGUGGCUAGAUUCGAGUCGUUCAGUAAUUGAUACGCGCAGAAUGAGAUUUCUGGAGCAUUGUUUAGCUUGCUCGGCAUUGGAUUCGUCUUGUUCGAGGUAAGUAACUCUUCUAAUCUUGGAGCUGAGGGUAUGCACCCUGAAUAUACGUAUUAUAUGAAUUAUUUGGAGGUGACGUACAUGCUAGGUGACGGGUGUGUGGGCGUGCACCAUUGAAAAUGCGACGUAAUUGUUUCCGUAGAAUUUUGUAGUCAAAUAAUCUUGGCAUUUCCUAUGCAGUUUUAUGUGUUAAAGAAAUUUAGUUGAGAAUCAUAUUAAAAAUCAUGUUGAGGUUAUGUGCCAGUAUUAUUGGGACCCAUAGAUGUCAUAUUAUUGUGAAUUAUUUGUUUAAAUUAAAAAUUCAUACUCAGUCAUAUUCAUCGCAUUGCAUAUCAUAUCUCAGUCUCUGUUAUUAUUUAUUGAUAUAUCAUAUCAUCUUUUUCAGGCUAUUUUCAUGACAUUGUGAGCCCAUGAGAGAGACUGGAGAGAUUGAUGACUGAGGGAGGCCGAUGGCCUAAAUGUGAGGAUAUUUUUAGGAUCGAGCUGCAUGCCGCAGCAAGCCAUAUUGGGCAGCAGACCUUAUAGGCUUUAUAUAGCGCUUGGGCUGAAGGAGCCCCUCCGGAGUCUGCACCCCCCUCCCUCCCCCCGUGAGCGCGGUUGAUAUUAUUGAGGGAUGGAUCUUCCUUGGACAUGGAUCUUGUCCGAAGUAUUAUAUACCUGGAGAUGGAUCUUCUCCACGGGCUGGAUUGGCCUUACUCGGUACUGAGUGACUGAUGAUCAGUUGAUAUGUAUAUUUUGGGAUGGAUCUUCCCUGGGCUGGAUUGGCCAUAUAUAGUACCGAGCGAUUGAGCAUGAUGAGUGGAAUGUGUGAGAAGGUGAGAUCAAGUACUAUGAGAGUGUGAGUACACGAGUUGAUCUCUGAGAUACAUUGCAUUGACAUGCACAUAUGACAUACAAGCAUAGAGAUGUAUUUUUUUUAUGCUGUUCGAUAUCACAUCAUUCAUGAUUUCUCACACAUAUUGACAGAUGGACAUAGUGAUGCAUUUGUUUUAUACUGGUUAUCUAGAAAGAAAAUGAAACAUCCUAUUUAUUAUUGAAAGGAUUUUCGGAAAAUUACUGUUUUCAAACUUAUUCAUAUUUUUGGCAACUUCGGUAAACGAUUUUGGAUUUUCACUGAUGUACUUGAAACGCAAAACUAUUUUUCUGAAAUCAUGAUCUUGCUGAGCAAUUUAUCUCUGAGUUACUUCUUAUAUUAUUUGCUUUACGUUGUUAUGAAUUGUUGUUGACUAUUGGUUUUGGACCCGACCUUGGUACAAGCUCGUCACUACUUUCAACCUAAGGUUAGGUUUGUUACUUAUUGAUUACAUGGGGUCGGUUGUACUCAUACUACACUUCUGCACCUUGCGUGCAGGUGUUGGCUGCUGAUGAUACUGUAUUCGUUAGGAGCUGGAUCCUAAGAUGUACUUGCGUCCCGGUCGUAGCUGCCUCUUGUUCAUGGUGGCCUUAGAUUCAUAAACUCUGUUUAUGUAGUUUUCAAACAGAUGAUGUAUUUACUUCAUACCAGUUUUGUAUACUUUAUUCUUAGAAGCUCAUGAUUUAUACUACCAGUUCUUGGGGAAUGUAUAAGAUUAAGAUUUCUCUUUGCUUAAAUUGCUUUAAAAAUCGUUAUUGGAAUUGGAUAGUGAUAAUUGUCUUACCUAGCGGGUUGAGUUAGAUGCCAUCACGACUAGUUGAAUUUUGGGUCGUGACACUCUUCCAACGACUUUCCGACGGAUAUGGCCGUAAGAAUUUCGUGUAAUUCCAACUGUGUUGCUCAACUUAAAAUGACAGUCGAAAUUUGUCACGACCCAAAAUCCAACUAGUCGUGAUGGCACCUAACCUCACCCGCUAGGUAAGCCAAAUAAUAACAAUCCAUAGGAGGCAAUUAAUAUUUAACUGACUCUAAUACACUCCCCAAGGACUGGUAGUACAAAUCAUGAGCUUCUAAGAUUAGAAUUUACAAAGCUGGUGUGAAAUAAAAAUACGUCAUCUGUUUGAAAUAUACAUGAACAAAUUUAAAAAUUCUAAAGAUACCUAAAACAAGAGGUAGUUGUGAUUGGAUCGCAGGUACAUCUUCAAUACUAGCUCCCGCCAUGUACAACAGUAUCAACAUCCAAAAUCUACACGCAAGGUACAGAAGUGUAGUAUGAGUACAACCGAUCCCAUGUACUCAAUAAGUAACAAACCUAACCUUAGGUUGAAAGUAGUGACGAGCUUGUACCAAGGUCAGAGUCCACACCAAUAAUCAAUAACAUCUCAUAACAAUACAAUUUAAAGCAGCACAAGUAAUAACUCAAUAAUAAAAUGCUCAGCUCGUAUACAAUUCCGGAAAAUCAACAUAUUCUUUUCAAGUAUAACAGUAAAACUCAAAUCCUUUGCCGAAAAUCACCGAAAAUAUGAGUAAGUCUGAAAUUUGUGAUUUUUCUCAAAAACUUUAAUGAUAGAUAAGUAAUUUCAUUAUCAUAUGGCAUGGGAAAAAGUACUUCUUUAUGCCUACAUAUCAAGUAUGCAUAUCUAAUGCAAUUCGGCACAAUAGAACUCAUGGAUUCACACUCUCAGAAUACUCAAUCACUCAGUACUAUGCGGGGCGGAUCCAGCCCAGAGAGGAUCCAUCCCUCAAUAGAAAAUACAACUGACAGUCAGUCACUCAGUACUGUAUAGGGUCAAUCCAACCCAAGGAAAUUCAUCACAAUUAUAAAUAAAUAAGGCAACUCCAUGCUCAGGGAAGUCCAUCCCCAAAUAUAAAUAAAUAAGGCAACUCAAUGCCCUGGGAAGUCAAUCCCAAAUAUAAAUAAAUAAGGCAACUCCAUGCUCUGGAAAAUCCAUCCCAAAUAUAAUAUCAUCUGCGCUCACUGUGGGGGGCUCAGACUCCGGAGGGGCUACUUUAGCCCAAGCGCUAUAGUAAGCCAACUUGGUCUGCUGCGACGUGCAACCCGAUCCCAUAAUAAUAAAGUCUAUAAUGCCUGUUGCGGCGUGUAACCCGAUCCAUAAAUAAUAAAGCCUAUAAGGCCUGCUGCGGCAUGCAAUCCGAUCCAUAAAUGAUAAAACCUAUAAGGCCUGCUGCGGCGUGCAACCCGAUCCGUAAAUAAUAAAGUCUAUAAGGCCUGCUGUAGCGUGCAACCCGAUCCAUAAAUAAUAAAGCCUAUAAGCCAUGUUGCGGCGUGCAACCCGAUCCAUAUAUAUAUAUAUAUAUGGCUUGCUGCGGCGUGCAACCCGAUCCUAUAAAUAUCCUCACAACCGGAUGAAUAUGACUAAGUAUGAAAUUAUAAUUUAAACAAAUAAUUCAACAACAAUACGACCUCUGUGGGUCUCAAUAAUACCGGCAUAUAGCCUCAGCAUAAUUUUUAACAUAAUUCUCACUUCAAUUUCUUUAACACAUGAAAGUGCAUGGAUAAUACCAAGAUUAUUUGAUUACAAAAUUCCACGUAAUCAAUUAUGUCAUAAUUUCUGCGGUGCACACCCAUACGCCCGUCACCUAGUAUGUGCAUCACCUCCAAACAAAUCACAUACCACGUAUAUUCAGGGUUCAUACCCUCAACUCCAAAUUUAGAAAUGUUACUUACCUCGAACAAGUCGAAUCCAAUGCAGAGCAAGUUAAACAAUACUCCGAAAAUUCUAUUCCGCUCGUAUCAACCCCCAAAUGCCUUCCUAUCUCCUCAAUUCCAAGACAAAUGAUUCAGAACUAGUCAAAUAACGUGCAAAUUAAUUAAAAUAUACUCCAAUGCUUACAAUUUAACAAUUUAUAAAAUAUCUCAACUCUGCUCGAAAAGCUGACAGUAGGGCCCACAUCUCGGAAUCUGAAGAAACUCUCAAAAUCCGAUAACCCAUUCAACUACGAGCCCAACCAUACUAAUUUUACUCAAAUCCGACUCUGAAUCGAUCUUCAAAACUCGAAAAUUCAUUUUGUGGAAUUAUAGAAAAUUCCUCCGAUUUCUCUUGAAAAAUCAAUAAUCAUUCACCAAAAAUGAAGAUUAAUUCAUGAAAUAUAUUCACAAUCGAGUCACGAAUACGUACCCCGAGUCGUGUGAAAAAUUUUCUCUCCAAAAUCGCCCAACCGAGCUCCAAAAUCCUAAAAUGAAGAAAGAAACCAAAGACCUCGAAUUAUAGGUUAUGUCCAGGUUUUUCCGCAUGUGCGGACAACAUUAGCGCUCCUGCGCCUUUGCUUGUGCGAGCAAAAUGUCGCAUUUGUGGACUUCACUUGCCUACCCAGUUUGUGCAUCUGCGAGGACACCAUCGCAUUUGCGAGGCUGCAUCUGUGGGAAAGAUAUCGUAGAUGCGAAAAUCCUUAGCUUCCAGCCAUCUCGCUUCUGCGCCUAAGUAUUCGCAUUUGCGAUCACGCAGGUGCGGAAAAUAGCAUUGCACCUGCGACCUCCGUCUUGUUCCUCCCCAACCGCUUCUGCGACUAGGGGUGUUCAAAAUCGAACCGAAACCGAAAAUCGAACCGAAACCGAAGCUUAAUGGCUUAUCGGUAUCGGUUUAACGGUUUAACGGANNNNNNNNNNNNNNNNNNNNNNNNNAGUUACUAUUAGAUAAUUUUGAUGCCAUGUGUUAUACCCAGUAUUCUCUUUUAUUUCUUCUGAUAGUUAUAAGUUAUUAAUAGGCUCAUCCCCAGAGAUGAUUUUACUGGGAAAUACACUGGAAUGUAGCUCUAUAUUUCUUGUAUUUAGCUCUCUUCUUAGGUGCCAUAUUCUAUAGACUGGAAUGUAGUCUCCUCAGCAUAGGAAUUUUAUUUUGAGUCACAGCGAUCAACAAACAAUCCGAUAAACCGCCCGAUAACCGUUCGAUAAGAGCUAAACCGAUACCAAUCCGCCCGAUAUCUUAUCGGGUGGCUAGCGGAUUUAUACAUUUAAAAGCCGAUAACCGAUAAGCCAAACCGUUAAGAGUAAAUAACCGCCCAAUCCGCCCGAUAAGCAGCCCUAUCUGCGACCACUGCCUCGCUUAUGUGAUCGCGCAGCUGCGACCAAAUGCAUCGCAUGUGCGUUUGCAUUAGUGGCUUCCAAAACCAGCCUUAACAAAAUUUCCAAAAAUGAUCCGAACCUCGUCCGAAACUCAUCCGAGCCACUCGGGACCCCGUCCAAAUAUACCAACAAGUUCCAUAACCUAACACAGACCUACUCGAGACCUCAAAUCACACAUAACAAUAUUGAAAUGAUGAAUUAUACCACAAUUCAAACUUAAUGAACUUUAAAUUUUCAACUUCCAAAUUUAGUGCCGAAACAUAUCAAAUCAAUCCCAAAUGACUUUAAAUUUUGCACACAAGUCAUACAUGACAUAAUGGAGUUGUUUCAAUUUCUGGAAUCAGAUUCCGACCCUGAUAUCAAUAAAGUCAAUUCCCGGUCAAAUUUCCAAACCCUCAAUUUCUUGCUUUCGCCAUUUCAAGCCAAAUUCAACUAAAGACUUCAAAAUAAAUAUCCAAAUGCACUCCUAAGUCUGAAACCACCAUACAUAGCUAUUGGAAUCAUCAAAACUUCAUUCCUGAGUCAUUUGCACAAAAGUCAAACUCCGGUCAACCCUUUUCAUUUAAGCUUCCAAUAUGAAAUUCAUUCUUGCGAACUAAUUCCGAAACACCUGAAAAUUAAAACCGACGAUUCACACACGCCAUAAUACAUCAUAUGAAGCUAUUCAAGACUUCAAAUAGUUUGAAGGAACGUAAAUGUUCAAAACGAUAAGUCGGAUCGUUACAGAAUUUUACGUAUUUCCGUAGUGUUGCUCAACUUAGACAUCAAGUUAAGAGGGGAGAAGUAUACCCUCAAUUCUUUAUGUUAUGAAAGAUAUUAAAUUAUACUCUAUCCGUUUCAAAAAGAUUUUCUUUGUUUGACUUGACACAAAUCUAUCUAUACAAUAUUAAAAGCACAAAGGCCCUUAGCUAAAUGUUAUUCGUCUUUUUUACCCUUUAAACAUAGAGUUUACACCGAAUAAAAUAGUCAUUUAAUAAUUCUUUUCGAAUAUUUAGGAAUAGUCAUUUAAUUUUUUCUAAUAUUUAAAAAUAAUUAUUUAAUUAUUGUCCUAAUACUUAGGACUUUAAUUUUUAAUUCUAGAAUUCAUACACUUUCAAAUUCAUUUAAAUUUAGGAAUAUUAGAUAAGCACGUUGAAUUACAAACUAGGAUAGUUUCGACAACUUUCGAUUUAAGAGUAUUUUUUCUUUCUUUUUCUUCUAAUAACUUUUGUAGACCGUUUGCCUUUUAUUUUAUUAGAAUAUUUUUGAGGUUAGUUCACAGUCUUUUCAAAUAUACAAUUUUAAGAGUACAAACUAUCUCACUAAGUAAUAUUAAAGCAUUUACCAUUUUAUACGUGAAAACAAAAUAGUAAAAAAAUAAUUGAGGUUACAAUUCGCCGAAAAUCAUUUACAUUUGUUUAUGAGAGCAAAGAAUAAAUACAACAAAAUAAGAAAUCAUAACAAAUUAAAAAAUUAAAAAGCAAUUUUUUUUUGUAGAUUUUAUCAUAAAAAUAGUUCUAGAAAAUAUAACAAUUAAAAUAUUUUUUAAUCAAAUUGGAUUUACUUUUAAAAAGUCUUUAUUUAAAUGAGAACUGAUUAUAAGUACACAAAGAAAAACAAAACGCUAUAUAUGUGGGAAUUGAUGAAAAGAAUAAAUUCUAAUUUGGAUCUUAACAUGAAUUUCAUAUUCUAAGUCCUUCCAAGAUAGUAUGAGCGUAGCCCUUUCAUAAUCAAACAAUUGCAAGUAAUACUGCUACAAUCAUAUACUCUUGUUUUCCAUGGAAAACAACAUCCGGAUGCAUCCGAAUGAAGAAUUUGAAAUGUAUGAUUAUGUGUUCUGACAAAGAAAGAAUUGUAGAUUAAUCAUACUAUAGCGGUUGAAUUAAUCUACUUUUGCCAUAAUAAUUUACUUUUGCAAUAAUAAUUUAUUCUUUUCAAAUAUGUUGGAAACAAUUUCUAUGUAGUAUUUUUUAAACAAUCAAACAAUCUGCAUUUUUAUCAUGAGAAAAAAAGAUGUCUUAUGAAAGUUAGUCGAUCAUAUUUUUGUCUUUUUAGAAUGAAUUUCAAAACAGGAGAUUCAUGCGUAACACACGUACUCUAAUACUAAUACUAUAUUAAAAGUGGAAACCCCAAAAUUAAAAAGUUAAAUUAGUAAAUUGCCCAUUUAGUUAACCUAAUAAAUACCCUAAUUGAUUUAUAUAAAAAAGACCUAAAAAUACAAAGAGACGCUCGCCGUCGGACACUUAAUACGAAGACAUUCCUCUUCAGACACUUUUAAUUUAAUACCCCUACUUAUUAACCUAAUAAAUUAACAAAUAUCCUAUGUAAUUUAGUUUUAAUCUUUGUUUUUUUAAGAAUAGCCUACAAAGAGACACUAGGCAUAUUUUCAAGAAAACGUUGUUUUAACAUUGAUCGGGCGAAGUGUUGCCACUGUUUAGAUUUAUCCUCUUUAAAAAUCAAAUCCCCCAUGGAUCUUUCUAAUCACGCUUGGAUCCUCUACAGAGACGGAUGAAGGAUUUAAACUCUAUGGGUUCAACUUUAAAGAUGUUAAAUAUUGAACCCAUUAUAUUUUUAAAGUUAUGAGUUCAAAUAAUCUAUUAUUUUUACAAUUUUAAUAAAUUUUUAUAUAUAAAUUUAUAUUCAGCGUCGAAUGUUAUGAGUUCAAUUGAACCUAUAACCACCACGCUGCAUCCGCCUCAGAUCUUUUAUGUGAAUACUUCAGCCUUCAGGUUCGGCCUCUUACCGCUCCUUCACUAUACUGAUUUUUCUACUCAGUCAUUAUUUUCACACUUUUUUCUCAUGUACUUUAAAUAGUUAGAUUUUCGGCCCUGGUACUAUUCUGUCCAUCUACCUUCUUAUCUAAAGUGAUAUUCUCCGGCUAAAUAUUGGAAGUUCAUUUCUACUUAAAUCUUCUUUGUUGCUUUUUCUAUCAUUGAGUAAAGAGCAAGUUGGUUUAUAAUGAUAAAUUAAACAAGUUAAUGAAUUAAAAAUUUGAAUGAAAUAGAUCUGAGAUAAAGGAGUAAAACAUGGUCUAUUUAUUGAGAUAAGUGGAAUUUGAGAUUAUAUAAUGGAAGAUUUCUUUCAAUUUCAAACAUUAUAAUUGACAUCCUUACACAAUCUAAAUUCCGACUUUACGAAUUUAGUUUGAAUAUGUUUGGCCUACUAUAUAUGUUAAUACUCAUGGUGUAACUGUAACGCAUCAUAUUAACUUGGAUGUUGAAAGUUUUUUUGAUGUUAGAGAUGUC